rnacentral:lncRNA from 1 species
ACUUCAUUAAAGGAGCAAAACAAUUUGUCCUUUAGCGUUUUUGGACCUAAACGUAAAAACGUAAACUUUUGGGCCAAAGUGCAAAUACACAAAAGUAUCAAAACUUUAUGUAAUUGCAUAAAAGCCCCAAAAGUACUCCCACUUGAGGGAGUGGCCGGUUUUGGAGAAAGGAUUAGAGUGAUGUGUGUGUUGAUUUUGUGAGUUUUGACAUAAAGCAUGCAAGUGGUGUGUGUGAAAGGAAUUAAUUUCUUUCACACCCACCAUUAUUUAUCACCAUUUAAAACAAAUAUCUAAUACAUUUAAAUCAUUUGAAAAAACAUAAAACAUAAACUUUAUGAAAUAAAUCAAAACUUUGAAUCAAAACACAAAAACUUUUUGUUCUUGGCAAAAAUGUCAAGAACAAUGAAGAACAUUCAUGAAAAACCCAAAAAAAAUUUUUCCAUGAACAUUUUUCACCCAAAAAAAACAUUCCAAAACCAUUCAAACUUUAGGGAAAUAACAUCUAACCAAACUAGGGUACAUAGGGGUUCCAAAAAAGUCACUUGAAAACACUUUUAACAAGUCAAACAAGAACCCAAAAAAUCCACCCUUUGGAUUUGGCCGAAAAAUUCCCAAAACAUGGCACCAAAUUUUAGCUCCAAUAUUCAUGCUCAUAUGAACUACAUCUACAACAUUUGAGAUGGCAAAUUUUCUAACAAAAUUUACAUUCAAAGAAGCAAGAAUAAAGCUUGUAACAAUUACAACUUUUAAAUCACAAACUAUGAACUACAAAACCCAAAAGGAUUCACCAACUACUAGACCUAGGCUCUGAUACCACUUGAAGGAAUUUUUGUGAAAACAUGUUCAUUUGAAGCAACAUCAUAUAGCAUGCAAUUAACAAUUAAAGGCGGAAUCAUGCUUGCAUGCACUUCAAAAACAAAACAUUAACCAUGAAAUUCAAAGCCUAGUAGAUUGGUGAACCAAAAACUCAACUCAAAACAAAGUGAGUUGAGAAAUUUAUACCUUUGUAGAUUCCUCUUUGCAUAAGCAAAGGCUAAUCACCCAAAGAGAGGGCCUUCAUUCCUUGCUUCUUAGAUCCUAUGGAUUUGGAUGGAAGAAUAGGUUUCUCCAAGUUCCCAAAAAUUGAGAACCUCUAAGUCUCUUCACCAAGGUUAGAUUGGAGAAGAAAUGAGUGACCUUGGAGUAGUGGGAUUGCUAGAUGCUAACCCUCCAAGGUGGCCGGCCUCUUUAGAGAGAAAAUGGAGAGACAAUGUUCUCUCCAAUUUUCUCCAAAAGAAACCCUUAAUGAAUUUUGGCUAUAAAGUCAUUUAUAUAGUCACUUCUUUAAGUGACCUGUAAAUAACCAAAAACCCUAAUUCAAUCAACAUGGCCGGCCAUAAGGGAUUUUGGGCUUUUGGGCCUUUGUGAAUCUUUAUUCAUUAAAGUUGUCAUACAACUUAAGUUCAAUGGGCUUGACGUUCGAAGCCCAUUGGGCCUUAAGGUCCAAAACUAUCCCGAGGUCUUUAACGAACUUAUUCGUUUGAUUAAUUAACAUAUUAANAGGUACAUAUACAAUCCAUUUAAGACAAUCUUUGGGAUUUUGUACCAAGUCCGGAAACUAAAGCAUUCGGCUUUUAUUUGUCAAGUUUUGGAUAGCGUUUGCAAAUAUAUUGUAAGUAAAUACAUAACGAAUAUAAAUUGAUUGAUUUUAAGCCAUUUGAUUCGGGUCUUUAAAUCAAAUAGCACCACCCACUAUUUUUGGCAAAUUCCAUAUCCUCAUGGAAUUCGAGAGUUUUUGGAUGAAACUCUUAGUAAGGUAUGGGAGACUCACUAUACCAAGCCCACUCACAAUGAUAUGAUGUUGGCUAGCAUUAAUAAUAAUGAGAGAGUACGCUUACUCAUUUGCAUCACUUGCAAGUACCCAUCUUAUUUGGCCUCUAGAGAAUGUCACCUCACAAUGAUAUGAUGUUGGCUCCAUUGCACUUAGUUAAGUCAUUCCCACCAUGCUUAGUUUGUGAAAGGGUUCAAGAAUAGCCUCACAAUGAUAUGAUGUUGGCCAUUCUCGUUGCCUACACUCACCUCAUCAAGUAUGUAUAUAGACUCCUCCUGAGUAUAAGCAUGCACUUUGCACUCCCCAUGAUAGGGUGAAGGAGGUGUACAAGUCAUAAACGAUUGGAGCUACCAUGGUGGAAGGCCACGAAAGAGUGUUCAAAGCACUCUCACGCUUAUCAACUUAAUAAUGGUUUGGUUGAGGGUUUAGGUCUCAUCACAUAUAAAACAUACAUUUUAAUCUAAUUAAAAAAUUUUGGUCCUAUUACAAAACUAUUGGUCCAUUUGAUUGUUUUAGUUGUAUAUAAUACUCCCACUAUGCUUAUAAAACGGUUUUUAAAGCAAGAGUAUAUGAUACUACUAACAUAAACUUUGCAUUCAUUUGAUGGACUAUAUAGUUGCCUUAGGACCUUAGGAUGAUUAUGAACCUUUUAAUUAGAUCCAACACGAGCCUUAUGUUGAAUCUCGGUCUAGGGAUGGUGAUUGAUUUUAGUUACGCGUUUAAUCACAUUAAGGUGUGUUGUCUUAGGGGUGUUGGACCCAACUACUUCAUUUUCAUGCAUAUCAAAUAAAGCAAGAAAGAAGUACUUCAAAGUAAAGGUGAGCUUAUGCUCAUUACAACAUUUGCAUAAAUCAAAUUACUUUAAAGUAAAGAAGAGCUUAUGCUCUUUUACAACAUUUGAAUCAAAUCAAAUUACAACCAAAAUCUAAUCUACACAUUCCAUGGUUCAAACAAAUUUGAAACGGCCUUUCACAUAGCUCAAUUAUUGUAGGCUUAGGUUCAUAAUCACCCUUUAAUUAAUUAACACUUUAACUAAUUAAAUUGAAUGCAACAUUUUCAUUUGGUUUUUGUAUCCAUAAAAUUGAUUUAAAUGGAGCUAAAUGAAAUGAAAAUCAAAUUCUCAUUUAAAGAGACAAAACAAUUUUGUUCUCAACCUAAUUUGGGCCAUCAUGCAAUAACCACAACUUUUUGGGCUAUAUUGCGAAAACACAAACUUUUGGGGUCACUUUGUAAAAACACAAAAGUCCACUACUUCAUGUAAUUACUAGAACCCAAAAUUUAAACAAUGCAAAAACUUCAUUAAAGGAGCAAAACAAUUUGUCCUUUAGCGUUUUUUGACCUAAACGUAAAAACACAAAAGUAUCAAAACUUUAUGUAAUUGCAUAAAAGCCCCAAAAGUACUCCCACUUGAGGGAGGGCCGGUUUUGGAGAAGGAUUAGAGUGAUGUGUGUGUUGAUUUGUGAGUUUUGACAUAAAGCAUGCAAGUGGUGUGUGUGAAAGGGAAUUAAUUCUUUCACACCCACCAUUAUUUCUACCACCAUUUAAACAAAUAUCUAACACAUUAAAUCAUUUGAAAAACAUAAAACAUAAACUUUAUGAAAUAAAUCAAAACUUUGAAUCAAAACACAAAACUUUUUGUUCUUGGCAAAAAUGUCAAGAACAAUGAAGAACAUUCAUGAAAAACCCAAAAAAAUUUCCAUGAACAUUUUUACUCCAAAAAAAAACAUCCCAAAACCAUUCAAACCUUAGGGAAAUAACAUAUAACCAAACUAGGGUACAUAGGGGUUCCAAAAGUUACUUGAAAACACUUUUAACAAGUCAAACAAGAACCAAAAAAUCCACCCUUUGGAUUUGGCCGAAAAUUCCCAAAAACAUGGCACCAAAUUUUAGCUCCAAUAUUCAUGCUCAUAAGAACUACAUCUACAACAUUUGAGAUGGCAAAUUUUCUAACAAAAUUUACAUUCAAAAAAACAAGAAUAAAGCUUGUAACAUAUUACAACUUUUAGAUCACAAACUAUGAACCACAAAACCCAAAAGGAUUCACCAACUACUAGACCUAGACUCUGAUACCACUUGAAGGAUGAUUUUGUGAAAACAUGUUCAUUUGAAUAACAUCUAUAGCAUGCAUUUAACAAUUAAAAGGCGGAAUCAUGCUUGCAUGCAUUCAAAAACAAAACAUUACCCAUGAAAUUCAAAGCCUAGUAGAUUGGUGAACCAAGACUCAACUCAAAUCAAAGUGAGUUGAGAAAUUUAUACCUUUGUAGAUUCCUCUUUG